rnacentral:misc_RNA from 1 species
GAUGAAGAACGCAGCGAAAUGCGAUAAGUAAUGUGAAUUGCAGAAUUCAGUGAAUCAUCGAAUCUUUGAACGCACAUUGCGCCCGCCAGUAUUCUGGCGGGCAUGCCUGUUUGAGUAUCAUGAACACCACAACUCUUUAUGGUUUUCCAUGAUGAGCUUGGACUCUGGGGGUUUUGCUGGCUCACAGUCGGCUCCUCUAAAAUGAAUCAGCUUACCAGUGUUUGGUGGGUAUCAUGGGUGUGAUAACUAUCUACGCUUGUGGUUUUUCCACCAGGUAACCUUCAGCAGUGGAGGUUCGCUGGAGCUCAUAGAUGUCUCUCCUCAGUGAGGACAGCCCUUUGAAUGUUUGAUCUCAAAUCAGGUAGGACUACCCGCUGAACUUAAGCAUAUCAAUAAGCGGAGGA